AGGGUGUAGCCUACAGCAGAAAUAUUCCGAAGAAUUCUAUCCUUUUCCAAGAGUGUUUGCCGACUAAAGAAAACAAAGUCAGGACUUGUGUCCGUAAAAAUUUAACCACGGAAAGUGGUUGUCGCUGCCAAGGACGUGUUAUAUACUAUCGUGUGUGUGCGUGUACCUAGUAGUAGCGUUACGCACACACAAUGUGCAUUCAGCGGUCACGUGCUGCAAUAUUUAUAUUCACCAACUAAACAGAAAUAAAUUCAACAGAAAUCGAAC